GAUCACUUCAUUCAUGGCGCUGCUGCUCUGCAUGGGCACCAUGUGAAGGGCAAAAGCGCCAUCUGGUGGCGAGGAGGAAGGCUAAAUUUGGGGGAGUGGGAUCCAAUGGUGCCACCAAAAGGGGAUUCCGGAAUAACCUGUUUCAUGAAUGGAAAUGACAAAAUUCCGGGGACGACAAGUGGAAUGUGUCAUCCUUCGACAAUUAUGAGGCACUGCGGCCAAGUGGGGAAGUGACCCAGUCGGGGGAGAUGUUACUGCGAGCUAGUGGACUGGAGUGGAACACUAUAAACAAGUCAAGAUUUUAAAUAACAUGAGAAAGAAAGAAUGGGCAACGAGCAUGCAAGCUCAUUUGUUUUCAUCAUCCAUCGCUUUUUUUUUUUUGUCUUGUAAGCAAAUGUACUGGUCGCCCGCUGUGUCCUCACUAAUUGGAACUGCCAGGUGUCCCUGGGCUGGCUUGGAAGAAGAAGAAGAAGAAGGUAAGAGUGUGAAGCAGGAGGUGAAUGCCACUGAUGAGAUGGAAUGAGGAAGUAGACAAGCGGCUUUCAGGCGCUAGCAGGAGACAAAAUGACGAAUAAAGACAACUUGG